AUUCACUAAACCAGUUCAUUGGCCUAAUUAGUUGAUAUUUCCAAGUAAAAUGUACUUGAGUGAUAUCAGUGAACCUGGCAACUUUCACAAACAUUCGGAGCAUGACGUCAAAGCCCCUCCCCACAUUUGAACGGUCUUUCGUCCGAGACGUGCUGUACACUCCAGUCCAAGUUCCACAUUUCAACUGGGUUGGCAGACUUUGUUGAAUGAGAUGGGGAAGAACGUGAAUGAACCACGAAGCAUCAUGUCGACGGCAGAAGGGACAUUAUCAUCCGUUGCUUAGUUGAGUAUCUUGGAGAGAGUGGAGAGGAGCUGAUCAAAGACUAUCAGUUUUCAGCACCAGUGUUUCCCCCAUGGGGACCUUCCACACUGGGACUAGUUCUGGUCUACCAACACGGGUGCAGUCCCAUAGAUAGCUCCAGCCUGGGUGGCUGGAGGGCUCUGCACCCCUGUGUGGAGCCUCCUGUCUGCCCGGGCCAGGGUGGUCACUGUGGCGGCACUCCCUAUGGUCGUGGGCGAUGACCCCUCUCAGUCUGGAUGGCCCCCAAAAGUGACUUUCUUUGGCUCAGGGUCAGCCUCUGUGAAGCACGUUGUGUAACUUUAUGACGUCAGCCAAGAAGCAGUGAAAGAGGACUGCAGUAAUCACAUGAUGCAGAUCAACGUCAUCCAUCCCAAUGUGGCACAGGAAAACCAAGAUCCUGUGUAUGUGUCAGUCAUCAUCAAGUGUGACAAACGCUUGCCUCCUGCUCAUGGGUGUCAUCUAUGCUGUAAACUUAAGUUACCCACUUAAACUGAAAUAUACGUUUGAAGUAUUUCAGAAGCUGUUUCUUGAGCUUGACGUCAUUACAAUGUCACCAAAGGUCCAGUUUCUCCACAAUAAACUUUUAGCGUGAGUGUUCCAGUGCUAUUUGUGCUUUUGUCCAGCACAAACAAUCUCUUUACUUUUGUCAUUUUUCUGACUGAAAUUUCAAGUUUUGCUUAGUUUUUAAGUUAUUUCUGUCCUGAACAUCCUGAGAAUGUCUGCAAAGGUAGCCAUUGCAGUUUAUGUAUGCAUUCUUUGCUGUUCUGAAAAGUCAACUGUAACACUGUAUUCGUUUGUAUGCUGGAAUAUCAGUCCUAAAGUCAGUUGGUGCUUUGUCAUUCCGCAUUGAAUUUUUCAAAUCCUAAACGGCUUUACUUUUGAGCUUUUGUGUGUGUGUGUGUGUGUGUGUGUGUGUACACUGUUUUCAAAUUUGCUAGCAGGAAGUUCUGUGUUGUUAUGUUAUGUAUUUUAAAUACAUCUAUGCCAUUUCAAAUGUGA
ensembl:lncRNA